UUUUAGCCCAGAUAGAAAUGAAAAGCCCACGAUUUAAAAAUUGUAGUUUUUAUAAUCUUAAAAAAGCGACUAAAAGAAGCUCUUUUUAAGGUUUAAUAAAAACACAAUUUUUAAAUGUGGACUUGUAAUGAAUAGCUGGAAAUAGC
rnacentral:sRNA from 1 species